rnacentral:rRNA from 1 species
CGGAGGAACAUGUGGUUUAAUUCGAUGAUACGCGAGGAACCUUACCCGGGCUUGAAAUGCAUCUGACCGGCCUUGAAAGAGGUUUUUCCCUUUCGGGGCAGAUGUGUAGGUGCUGCAUGGUUGUCGUCAGCUCGUGCCGUGAGGUGUCGGCUUAAGUGCCAUAACGAGCGCAACCCUCAUCAUUAGUUACCAUCAGGUAAGGCUGGGGACUCUAAUGAGACUGCCAUCGUAAGAUGUGAGGAAGGUGGGGAUGACGUCAAAUCAGCACGGCCCUUACGUCCGGGGCGACACACGUGUUACAAUGGGUGGUACAAAGGGCAGCUACCUGGCGACAGGAUGCUAAUCUCCAAAACCACUCUCAGUUCGGAUCGGAGUCUGCAACUCGACUCCGUGAAGCUGGAUUCGCUAGUAAUCGCGCAUCAGCCACGGCGCGGUGAAUACGUUCCCGGGCCUU